rnacentral:tRNA from 1 species
CCUCACAUCUCAGUUUGUAAAGAAUCUGCCUGCAAUGCAGGAGACCCUGGUUCGAUUCCUGGGUCAGGA